rnacentral:tRNA from 1 species
UGAAAAAUAGUGUUAAGCAUAUUAGGCCGUUAACCUAAAGGUGUAUAUUUUACUUUUUCAG